GCCUUUUUAGCAUAGUGGUAGUGCACCACACUUGUAAUCUUGCCUACUGUCAGGAUGGGGAUGUGGAGGUCCUCGGUUCAAUCCCGAGAGGAGGCA